GUUUAAGUCUUUACUACACACCCAAUUGGAGAUUUCCCUGCCACUGGAAGCCUGUGCUCCUACAAGCCUGUGUUACACAUAUUUCCAGCUCGCCCCAAGCUUGUUUCCUGCUCUUUAGCCCCUCCCCAUCCUGGCCAAAGUGCCUCCUUCUCUUGGUAUCCUAUUUGAUCUGCAGAAGUCUAAUUUGACCUGGAGAAAGAAUUUUUCCUCCUAACAUCAGUCCUCAGGUUGGACUAAAUGGUCACUCAGUGAGAUCUGGCCAUGUCCUUCUAGGCUUUGAGUCAUGUUUGCUGAAGCCAUGCCAGUAAAAUAUUUCUGGGAUUGAGAAGAAGUCAGCCUGACAUUUUAAACAAACAAGGGCUGCAAGACUAAAAGACCCAUCUCUGCCUCUCCCCAGGGGCGUUUCUCACGGGGUGGGUAGGGAGGGCUUCGAAGCAGCCUGUGAAGUGUGGGCAGCUUGAAACACACGAGGCAGCAAAUCCGAACAGGCAAAGGCCUCACUCUCCAGUGCAGUCUGGGAGGACUGAUCAGGGAAGAACAGAUCAGGGUGAAGAACAGAAAGUUGCUCCCUGAACUCAGUGGCUCUGCCGCAGCAGGGAGAUGGUCUGAAGGACAGGCGUGGGGGCAGAAGAAGACCCCAAGGCAUCUCCCCAAGAUGACCACAGUUGUCCCUGAAGAAGCAGUCACAGCAAGCUCACUUCACAGGAACCAAGCUGUGGGCUGAUCCUACAGACUUGAAAAGACAACUCAAAAAGAUUGUCUGUGGGGUCAGAAACAGCUCUGGAGGGGUCUGCAGAAAUUACUUUCCCAAGUCUUUGGGCUGGAAGGAACGAACAGUGCCUGACCAAGGACUUUGAGCAGGAGAGAGAUGGGAGCAGAGAGGAGCCAAGGUCUACUAUUUUCACUUCUGUCAAUUAGAUCAAAGCCCUGCCCAGAAGCUUUGAGCGCCGCUGUCAAGUCCCAUUCCUCCCCUAAACCAUCCAGGUUCCAUCUGCCUUGAAGCCAAAGGAUCUUCUUAGAUUCCUCAAGAAAAAUUCAGGCCCCGAGUUUCUCCACCAGCACUCUCCUCUCCCCGAAGGAGUGGGUGGGCUGCAUUUCUCUUCAUAUUCUAUUCCAUUCCAGACCGUCUUGGACUACCAGCCUGUCCGCCACCCCUCGGGGCCCUCCCUCCUACUCUGCCCUUGCCCGCUGAGGUCCCAAGCUGAGGAGAUGAGCCGAGCAGUAAAAAGAGAGGAGGUUUGGAAAAGCAAUGUCCUCUCAGUCUUUAAUAGGUGGCCCCCCUGGGAACCUGCUGGAAGUGGAAGUUAAUAAGCUGAAGGUGGUCACAACCAAUCUCUGCCACACUCGCACCCUACCCCACCCCAAAUCAUUCCUUUUAAUUAAUAGUGGAAGACCUUUUUAAAAAUGUAACAUGAAUUGGCUAUUUCUUGAGGCAAACAAAAGGUGGCUCUGAAGCGAUAUAUUUGUACUCGUAUAAAUUCAUUAAAAUAGAAAGCUUAUAACCAUCCAGGUUUCACUGACAGCCCCAGUCCAUCUACAUGCAGAAAUGGUCCCUCCAAAGCCCUCUACGACAAUUAUUCUCACAGAUCGUCAUGAUAAACUGUAAGGGAAUAUACUAAGAAAGAGGGAAGAAGAGAGGAGGAGUCCAUUUUUAAUUAGUGGUUGGAAAUAGAGUAAAAAUUAGAGGGCCUUAGGUUUAAAACACAGAUGUGCAUUGUGAUCGUCUGAAGGAAGAGCUGUUGACAGAGAAAACAAGGUGGUGAACUAUGCCCUUGGCCUGUGACAGUUAGGUGAGGGUUGCUCACCGCAGAAGACAGACCGGUAGAGCCCAGCAGGAAAGAGGGUAUCAGGCUGGAAGAAGUGCAGUUUGGCCCUGGCGGAGUGGUGGAGUGGCUGGAGCGACUGCAGGAGGAGGAUAGAUCUGGAAGCAGGUCUGGGCUAUACUUUGGCCUCAGCCAGGGAGCCAGAGAAGGAAGGCUUGGGUUCGAGGGGGGAAAUCAUUCUCCCAAAUUGCUUUCUCAGAAGCGCCAAUUCAGAUCACCUGAAGACAGGGUCUGGGCCCCAUUACAGCAUGGUUCCCAAAUGGGAGUGUGCUUGGAAGCCUUGGUGAUUAAAGGGUGCUGACUAAAAGAGUCAAACUCUGUAAAAUAUUUGAAGAGAUUUAUUCUGAGCCAAAUAUGAGUGACCAUGGCCCAUGACACAGCCCUCAGGAGACCCUGAGAACAUGUGUUCAAGGUGGUCGGGGUACAGCUUGGUUUUAUAUGUUUUAGGAAGGCAUGAGACUCAAUCAAAGACAUUUUAAAAAUACAUUGGUUUGGUUCAGAAAGGUGAGACAACUCAAAGUGGGGGCUUCCAGGCUAUAGGUAAAUUUAAACAUUUUCUGACUGACAAUUGGUUGGGUUUAUCUGGAGACCUGGGAUUAAUGGAAAGGAAGGUUCAUGUUAAGAUACAGAACUGUGGGGACCAAGUUUUAUUGUGCAGAGGAAUCUCUCAGAUAGCAGACUUCAGAGAGAGAGAGAGCAGGUUGUAAAAUGUUUCUUAUCGGACCUAAAAGGGUACCUGGCUCUUAGUUGAUUAUCUCCUGGAUCUGGGAAGGAAGGAAGGAAAACAAAGGGGAAAGGAAAUAUUUCCUAUAGAAUAUGGAUUUUUCCCACAAGAGACUUUGCAGGACAAUUUCGAGAUAUGGCAAGGAGAUUUAUUUUGGGGUAAAACAUUUUGAUUUUCUUCCUUGUUAUGCCACAGUCAGAUUGGAAAGUCAGUCAUGAUAUACAGGGUCAGAUAAAAUCCGUCUGAUGAGAAUGUAUGGUUGGUAGGGCAUGACUCCCCAGACCCCUUAGAUAGGAAUCUGGGCAAGAUAAAAAAUCGGAGCUUAGUCCUCAAGGGAAGGGGCAGCAGCGCUGUUGGCGGGCUCACCAAGCAUCAGUACUGGAUCACCAGGCUUGGGAGAGUAGGGGUGUCAAGGCCCCAAGAGCAGGGAGGGCCUUGGCCCCACUAGGGGGGCAUCAGAAAGCAGGGAGCACUUGUAGUUCACCAUGAUUCCCCUCAAAGCCCUGGGCCAGCCUCCUGCAGGGAAGGCGGGCAGGAAGUCUUCCCCAUAGGGGCAGGCUUGCUUUUUUGGCCAGCCAUCCUCUUCAUAUGAAAAACAGCAUCUUGUCAUUUCUAGAUGUUUCUACUUUGGUUGACUCUUUAAUUUUUCUGCAGUUAAAAGCCUUAAAACAGCAAGGAAGCAGGGGACAGGAGGGGAGCCCAGAUCUCUCCCAAAGAAAAGGAGAAAGACUGAAUCCUUGAGGCCUGCCGUACAAAGGAGUGGUGGGUUGGAGGAGGGUAGGCAGAGACUAGGGUGGUCUGGGACUUUAAGUACAAGGCCCCGUGGAUUUCAUUGGGGGGCAAGCCAUGUGCAACAGGGAAGCUCAGGAACCGGGGGGUUUCGCACAGAGGUCUGGUGCUGUGAGGUACAGGGAAAGAAUUAGUGGAUCUGGACCAGUGGAACAUUGGUUUAGUGUAAUCUCUGAUUUGUGUUGAGUGAAUUUGAGUAUAGUCCAACCACCACCCCCCUACCCCAACUAAACCAUGUGCCCCUCAGGAGCUGGGACUCUUCUAUUUUCUAUUCCUUAUAGCAGGCUCAGUGCCUGACACACUACGUUGAAUUUUAUUUUAAACAUUUCAUUUACAUUAAAUGGUAUAUUUGCAAGUUCAUUCUUCCAGACCUCAGUUUAUUCUUUUAUCUAGUCAUUUUAAAGGGAUUCUCUCAGACCCUCCACUAGCUAAGAGAACCGAACUUUUCUUCCAGAAUUGUCAGGAAAUGGGACUUACUGACUUAGUGAGCUACUUAUUUUAUCUAGAAUUAACUGUGUCUAAUAAAAUAUAUAUGCACUUUGGGAAUGGAUGAGGUGCUACACAAAUGAAAGAUGGUAUUAUUCAUCAUACAGUGUUUUUGAUUAUAAUAGAUUAUUCUCUGCCAAAACCCAGAAGGGCCAAGUCGAGGUAGGUUGCUGAAAGGGGAGGAAGUCUAAAUAGCAGAAUCAGACUUUUCCAUAAGUUUGCAGUGGCGUAUGGACAACACUCAGGCAACCAGCCCUCGGCACAGCAACAGGGGACCCACCUCCUAAGUUGGGGCUGAGUAAAGACAUAUUCCCGGGGCAAGGCUUUGCCAAGGCAGGCCUCUUCUGAAACAUAAGUCCCAUCUUUCUCCCGGCCCCGCCACCCCACCUCAGAUGUGCUGUCUAGAAGCUGCACAUCUGGGGCCGUUCAAACUCCUGGCUCGAAUCACUGGAAUCAUCUGAGCAGGAUAAUUUUACAUUAAUGAUUAAAAAUUGCUCUUCUAGAUAUAGCCUUGCCUCAGGGUAGCCAUUAAGAACAUUACUUCGUAAUUUAAGAAGCUCAAUGUAGGGCGCUUUGGGCAUUUGCAAAGAGGGAACUGUACUCAUAUCUUGAUAAAUUGCAAAAUGUCUCCCACCAUCUUCUUGUUCUGUAUCUCCUCUUCUGCCUUCUGCCAUUGCACUCUCUGGCAUAUAAUCCUUUUAAAGAAUAAGAACAAAAACAAAAAAAAAAGGAAGAUAAUGAAAAGCCUAUUGUUUCUUAGUGUCCGCUGAUGUUAAACACGCACACGCAUGCACAAUUAUGAAUUUUGUGUAUUUCUUCCGGGGGAUGGAGCCAUAAAGGGUUACACUUUGGUAUGUGAUUUUGGAGCCUACACUUGAAAUGGGAAUUUGAAUGUAGUUGAACAGACUUUUAACAUUGCCCCGAGAAGAAUGAUACUGGCAUUUGCUUGUCUGCGGUGUCACACCCCGGAGUGUGGAGGAUCCUCACCGGCUCUGUGACUCACCCUGGAAGUUGCACCUUUCUCGGGGGGCAGGGUGGGGAGUUACUUUUUAUAAGUAAACCCCAGAGAGCAGUGUUUCCGUAUCAAUCAGUUUCUCAACAAGUUUGAGAGCAGAUUGUGCCUCAAUCCCUAUCGUUGGGGAUGCUCUCCAAGCUCUCCGGGGUGCCGCCAAGCCAGGAUCUCCCAUUCUGAUGCAUCCUGGGUCUCCUCUUCCCUUGCCCCUCUUCCUUGUUCUCCACUCUGAGCCAGCUAGACAGGUGAAGCAGAGAACCUGUCUAGUCCAAACUCCUUAUUUUACAGAUCAGGAGCGUGAGGCCCAGAGAGGGAUUGCCCUUACCCCAUCCUGCAUCCCCUCUCCUCCUCUUCUGCCUUCACCCCAAUACCUUCCAGCGUGAAUGAUGCCCACCCUGUCUCUCUUCUAGCCCCGCAUCCUGCAUUACUCUUUUCACAAUAUUUUUGAGUAAGUGGCCUGCUGCAAUCUUAUAUUUGGCAUGGCAAAGGCAGACCCCUUUCCCUCCCUCCAGACCCCCAGCUCAGCCACUGUGAGUGCUGUAAGGCCAGUCCCCACCUGUGUCCUUCUAUUCAUCACAAACUAAGCACAUGCUACUUUAUCUUUUAUCUCCUCGUGUCCACAAAACAGGCCACAACCAAGGUCAUGCUGCCAAACAGAUCUGGGAGAAUGGUAAUUGACAAUUCACGCUAAAAAUUGUGUUGAACAAAAAUUCUCUUCUAUUAGAAAAAUGACAGGAGAGACAACUUUGCCAUUAUGUUGCUUUCUCCUCAAUCGGGACACACAAAAAAUCUCAAUAAAAAUGUUAUAUCAAAGGCUCGCAAACAUCAUUCAAAUCUUCCCUAACCCAUUGCUUUCAUUUGAAAAACGAGCAUUUCAUUAAAGACACUUGACAGGAUGUUAAUUUGUUGUGGGAAUCUGUCAGUGUCCAAACAAAUACUUGCAUGUUUUGUGCAGAUGAGGUAACCGCUUGUAGAAUGGCAAAACCAGAAGGCAUUUGGGUGACCUGCUUUGGCCUUUUGACUUUACAG
rnacentral:lncRNA from 10 species